UCCGGAUUGGAGUCUGCAACUCGACUCCAUGAAGUCGGAAUCGCUAGUAAUCGUAGAUCAGAAUGCUACGGUGAAUACGUUCCCGGGCCUUGUACACACCGCCCGUCACACCAUGGGAGUGGGUUGCAAAAGAAGUAGGUAGCUUAACCUUCGGGAGGGCGCUUACCACUUUGUGAUUCAUGACUGGGGUGAAGUCGUAACAAGGUAACCGUAGGGGAACCUGCGGUUGGAUCACCUCCUUACCUUAAAGAA
rnacentral:rRNA from 1 species